ACAUCUCUUCUCUCCCACUUC
rnacentral:miRNA from 1 species